rnacentral:rRNA from 1 species
UGCAGUCGAACGGAAGGCCCCAGCUUGCUGGGGUACUCGAGUGGCGAACGGGUGAGUAACACGUGGGUGAUCUGCCCUGCACUUUGGGAUAAGCUUGGGAAACUGGGUCUAAUACCGAAUAUGACCACUUCUUGGAUGUUGUGGUGGAAAGCUUUUGCGGUGUGGGAUGAGCCUGCGGCCUAUCAGCUUGUUGGUGGGGUAAUGGCCUACCAAGGCGGCGACGGGUAUCCGGCCUGAGAGGGUGUACGGACACAUUGGGACUGAGAUACGGCCCAGACUCCUACGGGAGGCAGCAGUGGGGAAUAUUGCACAAUGGGCGCAAGCCUGAUGCAGCGACGCCGCGUGGGGGAUGAAGGCCUUCGGGUUGUAAACUCCUUUCGCUAUCGACGAAGCCACUUGUGGUGACGGUAGGUAGAUAAGAAGCACCGGCUAACUACGUGCCAGCAGCCGCGGUAAUACGUAGGGUGCAAGCGUUGUCCGGAAUUACUGGGCGUAAAGAGCUCGUAGGUGGUUUGUCGCGUCGUCUGUGAAAUCCCGGGGCUUAACUUCGGGCGUGCAGGCGAUACGGGCAUAACUUGAGUGCUGUAGGGGAGACUGGAAUUCCUGGUGUAGCGGUGAAAUGCGCAGAUAUCAGGAGGAACACCGAUGGCGAAGGCAGGUCUCUGGGCAGUAACUGACGCUGAGGAGCGAAAGCAUGGGUAGCGAACAGGAUUAGAUACCCUGGUAGUCCAUGCCGUAAACGGUGGGCGCUAGGUGUAGGGGGCUUCCACGUCUUCUGUGCCGUAGCUAACGCAUUAAGCGCCCCGCCUGGGGAGUACGGCCGCAAGGCUAAAACUCAAAGGAAUUGACGGGGGCCCGCACAAGCGGCGGAGCAUGUGGAUUAAUUCGAUGCAACGCGAAGAACCUUACCUGGGCUUGACAUGUACCGGAUCGGGCUAGAGAUAGUCUUUCCCUUGUGGUCGGUAUACAGGUGGUGCAUGGUUGUCGUCAGCUCCUGUCCUGAGAUGUUGGGUUAAGU